GGGGCUUCUGCAGAACUCCGACCAGCAUCAUUGCAUUGGGAACAUAGACCCCUGUGGAAUCUCAGCACCAGAACACUCUGGAUAGCUGGUGAAGGAAGAUGCUAGGAGCAAUCACCACUACAGAUCGUGGAGUUCCUCGCUAGCAGUGAAUGAAGGAGUGGCAUUUAAAUGUGGCACCAGAACAUUCUACCCAGGAAGAACUGGCAGGGGAUUAUCCAAAGAAGAGUUC